CUUGGAUCGUACAUACUACAUGGAUAACUGUAGUAAUUCUAGAGCUAAUACAUGCCACUAAGCCCUGACCCGCAAGGGGACGGGUGGAUUUAUUAGAACAGAACCAACCGGUUGUGGCUUCGGUCAUGGCCGUUGUACUCUGUGAUGACUCUGGAUAACUUUACUGAUCGCAGUCGGCCUUGUGUCGGCGACGGAUCUUUCAAAUGUCUGCCCUAUCAAUUGUCGAUGGUAGGUGACCUGCCUACCAUGGUGAUAACGGGUAACGGGGAAUCAGGGUUCGAUUCCGGAGAGGGAGCCUGAGAAACGGCUACCACUUCUAAGGAAGGCAGCAGGCACGCAAAUUACCCAAUCCCGGCACGGGGAGGUAGUGACGAUAAAUACGGAUACGGGACUCAAAAGAGGCUCCGUAAUUCGAAUGAGUACAAUUUAAAUCCUUUAACGAGGACCAACUGGAGGGCAAGUCUGGUGCCAGCAGCCGCGGUAACUCCAGCUCCAGAAGCGUAUAUUAAAGUUGUUGCAGUUAAAAAGCUCGUAGUUGGAUCUGGGUCGCAUGGCUACGCGCCGUUGCUUGUGAUCUCGGUUUGGUUACGACCGGAUUGAGUUCAUGAGUCGGUGUAGUGGUUGUGCAGCCUUUCUGCCGUGUCUGUUUUACAGGUGCUGGCGGAUUGUUGGGUUCGCCCUUCAGUCUGUCGGCAUGCUUCCGAAUGCCUUUAAACGGGUGUUGGGGGCGGACGGCACGUUUACUUA
rnacentral:rRNA from 1 species